CUUUACUGUAGCCUGGAAUUGGGUUCGGGCUUUGACUGCGCAGGAUAGGUGGGAGACUAUGAGACAUCCCUUGUGGGGGAUGUGGAGUCAUCAGUGAGAUACCACUCUGUCAUGGCUAGAAUUCUAACUCAUUGCCGUGAUCCGGCAUGGGAACAGUUUCAGGUGGGCAGUUUGACUGGGGCGGUCGCCUCCUAAACGAUAACGGAGGCGCACAAAGGUUCCCUCAGGCUGGUUGGAAAUCAGCCGAAGAGUGUAAAGGCACAAGGGAGCUUGACUGUGAGACUGACAAGUCGAGCAGGGUGGAAACACGGUCUUAGUGAUCCGACGGCACUGAGUGGAAGGGCCGUCGCUCAACGGAUAAAAGUUA
rnacentral:rRNA from 1 species